UGUCACGGACGGAAGUCGCUUUCCUGAUUCGACUUUCGUCCGUUCGGAGGAAUCGACCAGCCAUUGCCGCGCCGCCGGGGGUCACACCGUUGAUCACCUCUGACGCGGUACAUCGACGAGGAGACCACCAUUAUCGACGAGGCUGUCGGAAUUAUCUUCCAGCGCGGCGUGACACGUCCCCGCGUGGCCAAACGAAGUGAAUCUAACGGUUCCGCGCGAGCGGAAUGAGAGGCUUGUUGGCGGGGAGUCGAUAUCUGGAAAGAUUAUCCAGCAGCUUCUCUCUUUCCCAGUCGACGAUCGCCGUGGUCGACUGGGUAACCAGGAAUAACCGUUUCGAUUUCACUGUGGAAAUAUUCCGUGCCGAAAGCUAUUUUUGUUGAUUCAACCCCUGCUUGAAGGAUAAUUUAACUCGCGCUCUGUAACAAUUUUUAAACAAUUAUACUUGGAACAAAACGACAUUCUCUUGUUUAAUUUUAUGUUUGCACGUAGAUUUUAUCGAUCGCGACGAGAGUUUAAAGUCUUCGACGCAACACAGGGACAACAAGUGGAAAAUUAGUACCUAAUUCUAUUGUGCCAAUUACGUAAUAAGUUACAUUUAGCGAUGAUUGAACGAAUUUAAGAGCAAAAGUGACAGAUGAUUAAUAAAACAGGAACUUUAUAUUUAUACAGGACAACGAUGCAAACAAGCUUACAAAUUAUUUACAGGAUUUAUGAAACAAUAAUGCUGAUAAGAUCGUGGCGUGACUACCGUAAUCAGGUCGUAUUCGGAUUGCAAUUUCAUUAAUUUCACUGGCGAUAAAUCGAUAAUUUUGUACAGUGUUAUAAUGUUCCAGCUCUCGAUCCGAAAAACCACACUCGCGCGUUAAUAAAGAGCGGAUCCACCCAGUCGAAAAACCACCCUCGACAGCGAAACUGUCGUACUUUGCGCGAUACUUUCUACAUUUUUUUUUUAACAAGUUUCGCUUUGCGUUCGGGUUCCCUCUUUUCUCUCGCCUCGGGCAACGCUCCGGACGAAAAACUCCGCGGGGAAUGAAAAUGAAAAAAAAAAAAAGAAAAAAGAAAAAAGCCACGGAAGAGAUCUCGAAAAGACCGCGAGGCAAUUAAGGAUAUUGGCGGGUUCGGUGGGGUUGCGAAUUAACAACCCUUGCAGACCGCAAAAAAAAAAAAAAAGGAAAGAAAAAAAUAAUAAACGCGUGUGAUACUUAACGAACUGCGGCGCUGACCCCCUCGGCGUUCGAACAGCGAAACACAGGAAACCAUUGGGUGCCGAUCGGGUCGAUUUUUACGCGUGCGUGUUUCGUUCCACGCGCGUGAGUUGCGUACGAAUACGAAUUGCGCGCGAUCGAUGCCUGAAAAACGCGGAGCCACGCCGCGUCGCGUCGCGUCGCGUCGCGUCGCGAACGCGACCGCACCGAUCCCUCGUCAAGUUUCCUCUCCUCUCUGCUCCGUGGCACCACUCUCU